rnacentral:lncRNA from 1 species
CUGGCAUAAUUAAGAUCUGUGAAAAGACAGCCUUCUGUCCCUUCCCCAUGAAUCUGUGCUUGCAUUCAAAUGCCAUGUUAUCAGGUCAUUCUGCACUGAAAUACUGCUGUCCUCCAAGACAAAAGCAACUGUGUAUCAGAGAUUUUCGUCUUCCUUCUGCUGAGAGUUUCCAGUGGUGAAUGUAAGAAAGUGAAUCAUUUUUAUGCAAGGUAGCAGAGCCCCGCAGGGCUGUUAUCCCUUGCCUGGCUCCACCACUGAAAU